UCUGGUGACAGUAGCGCAGUGGCACCACCCGUUCCCAUUCCGAACACGGAAGUGAAACGCUGCAGCCCCGAUGGUAUUACGGCGACAGGCCGUGCGAGAGUAGGACGUCGCCAGAA
rnacentral:rRNA from 1 species